GACGAACGCUGGCGGCGUGCUUAACACAUGCAAGUCGAACGGAAAGGCCCUGCUUGCAGGGUACUCGAGUGGCGAACGGGUGAGUAACACGUGGGUGAUCUGCCCUGCACUUCGGGAUAAGCCUGGGAAACUGGGCCUAAUACCGGAUAGGAGCCAUUUUUAGUGUGAUGGUUGGAAAGUUUUUUCGGUGUAGGAUGAGCUCGCGGCCUAUCAGCUUGUUGGUGGGGUAAUGGCCUACCAAGGCGGCGACGGGUAGCCGGCCUGAGAGGGUGGACGGCCACAUUGGGACUGAGAUACGGCCCAGACGCCUACGGGAGGCAGCAGGGGGGAAUAUUGCACAAUGGGCGCAAGCCUGAUGCAGCGACGCCGCGUGGGGGAUGACGGCCUUCGGGUUGUAAACUCCUUUCGCUAGGGACGAAGCUUUUUGUGACGGUACCUAGAUAAGAAGCACCGGCUAACUACGUG
rnacentral:rRNA from 1 species